UGGCGACCGGCGCACGGGUGAGUAACGCGUAUGCAACCUGCCUGAUACCGGGGUAUAGCCCAUGGAAACGUGGAUUAACACCCCAUAGUACUUUUAUCCUGCAUGGGGUGUGAGUUAAAUGUUCGAGGUAUCGGAUGGGCAUGCGUCCUAUUAGUUAGUUGGCGGGGUAACAGCCCACCAAGACGAUGAUAGGUAGGGGUUCUGAGAGGAAGGUCCCCCACAUUGGAACUGAGACACGGUCCAA
rnacentral:rRNA from 1 species